rnacentral:pre_miRNA from 1 species
AUCACCUGGGAAUCUUGUUAAAAUGCAGAUUCUGUCAGUAGGUCUUGAGUGGGGGCUGUGGGACUCUGCAUUUCCAGCGAGCUCCCAGGUGAUGCUGA